rnacentral:rRNA from 1 species
UACGUAGGCAGCGAGCGUUGUUCGGAGUUACUGGGCGUAAAGGGUGUGUAGGCGGUUGUUUAAGUUUGGUGUGAAAUCGCCCGGCUCAACUGGGCGGGGUCGGCGGAUACGGCGUGGCUGGAGCAAGCUAGGGGGCAAUGGAAUUCCCGGUGUAGUGGUGGAAUGCGUAGAUAUCGGGAGGAACACCAGUGGCGAAGGCGGUUGCCUGGAGCUUUGCUGACGCUGAGGCGCGAAAGCGUGGGGAGCGAUCCGG